rnacentral:sRNA from 1 species
GGAAUACCCUCCCGGCUAUCGCUUCAGUGGGUAGAGGGGACCACUGCCCGAGAGCUUUAAUGGAGCUGGGUCCUGCCUUCGCGCUGAGGAGCCCUCGUUUUCGAGAUCAGGCCUGACCGGGAUAAGCUCCAGAGAUUCACCAACAAUAGCAAAUUACAGACUGGCUUGGAAAGCACUCCCAUGUUCCGUUUGAUCUUGGCAGUUUAAUGCUGUUCUUGAAGACUAAUUAGUUACACUGGAUAUGCUGCUGUUCUUGAAGUCUAAUUAGUUACACUGGAUAUGCUGCUGUUCUUUACUUUGGGAUUGCUUAUACAUUUUGUGUUCUUCGCCUCCAUCUUUGACAUUUAUUUUACAUCUCCUUUGGUUCAUGGAAUGACUCCUCAGUUUACACCAUUGCCUCCUCCAGCGAGAAGAUUAGUGUUGUUUGUUGCUGAUGGCCUUCGAGCAGAUGCACUUUACGAAUUAGAUGAAAAUGGAACCUCUAGAGCACCGUUUAUUAGGAAUAUCAUAAUGCAUGAAGGCAGCUGGGGCAUAUCUCAUACACGUGUGCCAACAGAAUCUCGGCCAGGUCAUGUAGCUCUGAUAGCUGGGUUUUAUGAAGAUGUCAGUGCAGUUGCCAAAGGAUGGAAGGAAAAUCCUGUAGAGUUUGAUUCUCUUUUUAAUGAAAGUAAAUACACAUGGAGCUGGGGAAGCCCAGAUAUCCUGCCUAUGUUUGCCAAAGGUGCUAGUGGAGACCACGUUUAUACAUAUAGUUAUGAUGCUAAAAGAGAGGAUUUUGGUGCUCAAGAUGCAACAAAACUGGAUACGUGGGUUUUUGAUAAUGUUAAGGACUUCUUUCAUCAUGCCAGAAACAACCAGUCUUUGUUUUCUAAAAUAAAUGAAGAGAAAAUAGUUUUUUUCUUACAUUUAUUAGGAAUAGAUACAAACGGACAUGCUCAUCGACCAUCCUCGAGAGACUACAAGGACAAUAUUAAAAAAGUUGAUGAUGGAGUUAAAGAAAUCGUGUCUAUGUUUAACCAUUUCUAUGGAAAUGAUGGGAAAACAACAUUUAUCUUUACCUCUGACCAUGGAAUGACAGACUGGGGUUCCCAUGGGGCUGGUCAUCCUUCAGAAACUUUAACUCCUUUAGUCACUUGGGGAGCUGGAAUCAAGUAUCCCCAAAGAGUAUCAGCUCAGCAAUUUGAUGAUGCAUUUUUGAAAGAGUGGAGAUUGGAGAACUGGAAGAGGCUAGAUGUCAAUCAGGCUGAUAUUGCACCAUUGAUGACUUCCCUUAUUGGAGUUCCCUUUCCUCUUAACUCAGUGGGAAUCCUUCCUGUGGAUUAUCUUAACAACACUGAUCUCUUCAAAGCAGAGAGCAUGUUUACAAAUGCAGUACAGAUUCUUGAACAGUUCAAGGUGAAAAUGACUCAGAAAAAAGAAGUUACUUUACCAUUUUUGUUUACACCAUUUAAACUGCUUUCUGAUUCCAAACAGUUCAACAUUUUAAGAAAAGCAAGAUCUUAUAUAAAACACAGAAAGUUUGACGAAGUGGUCUCCCUUUGCAAGGAGCUAAUUCAUCUUGCAUUGAAAGGAUUGUCCUAUUAUCACACAUAUGACAGAUUCUUUUUGGGCGUCAAUGUUGUUAUUGGUUUUGUGGGAUGGAUAUCUUAUGCCUCUUUGUUGAUCAUCAAGUCUCAUUCCAACCUUAUAAAAGGUGUUAGUAAAGAAGUGAAGAAACCAAGCCAUCUCCUGCCUUGUAGUUUUGUAGCUAUUGGCAUUUUAGUAGCAUUUUUUCUGCUGAUUCAAGCCUGUCCCUGGAAAUAUUAUGUAUAUGGUUUGUUGCCAGUGCCAAUAUGGUAUGCGGUUCUAAGAGAAUUUCAAGUUAUUCAGGACCUUGUUGCAUCAGUGUUGACCUAUCCUCUGAGCCAUUUUGUUGGGUACCUGUUAGCCUUUACCCUGGGAAUUGAAGUAUUAGUUCUCAGUUUUUUCUACCGCUAUAUGCUUACUGCUGGACUUACUGCCUUUGCAGCUUGGCCAUUUCUCACUCGGCUGUGGACUCGAGCAAAGAUGACCUCACUGAGUUGGACUUUCUUCUCUUUGCUCCUGGCAGUGUUCCCACUGAUGCCGGUUGUAGGUCGAAAGCCAGACAUCUCUCUAGUGUAUGAAUAAUAUUGUAUUUUAUUCUAUUUUCAAUACAGUUUUUUUCCCUCAAUUAACACUGUAAAAUUUGAACCUAAUCUUGGUCAAGAAUAUAAAAUCAUGUGAACUAACGGGAAUUUAAAAUACCAAUAUCAAACCAUUAGUCAUGAUUUUGGCCUAGGUUCUAAGAGUCAUUAAACCUCCUGGUAGAUGCUUUCGGGCUUUCAUAAUGAAAUUGUGCCACUGAUAACUUAAAAUCCUGCCCAUUUUUUUUUUGUUUAAGUCUAGAAGGUUUUCUUUCUUUUAUGCUUGGAGGAAUCAGUAAAAGUUUUAGUUUCAUGUGAAAAAACGUUCUGUUGCCAAAACAAAAAGGUCUCAAAGCUACUGUGUUAGCCCUCUUUGCUUUAAUCAUGUCCACACUAAAAUGUCAUGUAAAAAUUAAAUUUUCUGCUAUUCUAAAUUGAAUGUAAAGAUCUCCAUGGGAGGAAACUCUAUUUACCUUGCCAGCUUUCCCGUGUUUAACC